GCAUAGGUAAUUGAGUGGUAGAAUUCUAGCCUUCUGGACAAAACACCUGGGUUCAAUUCCCAGCCAAUGUA
rnacentral:tRNA from 1 species